rnacentral:rRNA from 1 species
AGCGAACGUUUGCGGCGGGCUUAACACAUGCAAGUCGAACGAGAAUCCCUUCGGGGAGGAAAGUGGCGCACGGGUGCGUAACACGUGGAUAACCAACCCAUUGGUUUGGGACAACACCGGGAAACUGGUGCUAAUACCAGAUGUGUCGCAGCUGUCUUCAGGCGGUUGCGAGAAAGGCCCGCAAGGGUCGCCAACGGACGGGUCCGCGUCCCAUCAGCUAGUUGGUGAGGUAAUGGCUCACCAAGGCAAAGACGGGUAGCUGGUCUGAGAGGAUGAUCAGCCACACUGGAACUGAGACACGGUCCAGACUCCUACGGGAGGCAGCAGUGGGGAAUAUUGCGCAAUGGGCGAAAGCCUGACGCAGCCACGCCGUGUGAGCGAUGAAGGUCUUCGGAUCGUAAAGCUCUGUGGGGGGAGAAGAAGAAAGCCGGUGAAGAGCCGGCCCUGACGGUAUCCCCUUAGCAAGCACCGGCUAACUCCGUGCCAGCAGCCGCGGUAAAGUAGUCG